rnacentral:misc_RNA from 1 species
UUUCCGUAGGUGAACCUGCGGAAGGAUCAUUAAAAAAUGAAGACCCAUAUAAUGAGGGUCUUAUUAAUAAUCCUACCCUUUGUGAAUUUGUUUGUUUUUAAUAACGUGUCUUUCCCUGUUUUUGAUGGAGCUUGUUAAAAAGCAAAAUCAAAUCAGGGGAAUGGCAAAACCUUUUUUAAAAUUAAACAUUUGUAUUCAUUUGUCUAAAAUUAUUUUUAUAAUAUAAAAACAACUUUUGAUAAUGGAUCUCUUGGUUCUCGCAACGAUGAAGAACGCAACAAAAUGCGAUAAGUAAUGUGAAUUGCAGAAUACGUGAAUCAUCGAAUCUUCGAACGCAUAUUGCACUUUUUUGGUUUACCAAAAAAGUAUGUCUGUUUGAGUAUCAGUAAAAUAUUCUCAUAAAAAACUUGUUUUUUUAUGGUUAUGAGUGUUUUACAACGAUAAACAAGUUGUUUCACUUUAAAUUCUUUGUCUUUUUAAAAAAUCAUUUAAAAACUGAUUUUUUUUUAAAAUUGGAUAAAUUUUCCUGUAAAAAGGAAUAACCUAAACAAUUUUAAGAAUUAAAUUAGUUUGAUUUUUUUAAAAGAUCUAACAAGGAAAAAAAAGUAAAAAUGAACUUGAUCUCAAAUCAGAUAAGAGUACCCGCUGAACUUAAGCAUAUCAAUAAGCGGAGGAAAAGAAACUAACUAGGAUUCCCUCAGUAACGGCGAGUGAAGCGGGAAGAGCUCAAAUUUGAAAUCUUCAAGGCUCUACCUUGACGAAUUGUAGUUUAAAGAAGUGUUUUCUGUUGGAGUUUUGGUAUAAGUUCUUUGGAAUAGGACAUCAUAGAGGGUGAGAAUCCCGUAUUUGACCAUUAUUUCCAACUUUGUGAUACACUUUCAAAGAGUCGGAUUGUUUGGGAAUGCAGUCCAAAUGGGUGGUAAAUUUCAUCUAAAGCUAAAUACUGGCGAGAGACCGAUAGCGAACAAGUACCGUGAGGGAAAGAUGAAAAGAACUUUGAAAAGAGAGUUAAACAGUACGUGAAAUUGUCAAAAGGGAAGCGUUUGACACCAGUGUUGUUUUCUCGAAAAUCAAUUAAAAAUGGCAGGAUUUUGUGUUGUAUUGACUUUAUCAGCUUUCUGCACUUUUUUCUUGUCUUUUUUAAUGCACUUUCCGUUUAACAAGUCAACAUCAAUUUCUUUUGUUGUAAAAGGGUCAUUGGAAGGUGGCUUUCUUUUCGGAGAAAGUGUUUAUAGCCUUUGGCCUCUGCAAUCGGAGAGAUUGAGGUCUGCAGCGUAGAUCCUUCGGGUUAGAUGCAUUUGUGCUAAGUUAUAGCCUUUCAUAGACAACUUGUUGACUAUGAUCAGUCAUGUAGCUUACUCGCUUAUGUCAUUUUACCUACGCUUAGGAUGUUG